UCCCCGUUACCGGGGCAGUCUAGCCAGAAAAAUCCAACUGACUAUAAGGGUUGCGCUCGUUAAUGGACUUAACCAAACAUCUCACGACACGAGCUGACGACGGCCAUGCAUCACCUGUCACUAGGUUCCCGAAGGCACAAUAUCCUUUCGGAUAUCUUCCUAGGAUGUCAAACCCUGGUAAGGUUCUUCGCUUAUCGUCGAAUUAAACAACACGCUCCACCGCUUGUGCGGGUCCCCGUCAAUUCCUUUAUGUUUUAAGCUUGCGCUCGUACUCCACAGGCGGGAUGCUUAACGCGUUAGCUUCGCUACUACUCGGGUCGAUACGAAUAACAGCUAGCAUCCAUAGUUUACGGCGUGGACUAC
rnacentral:misc_RNA from 1 species